AAAAAAAAAAAAAAAAAAAUCAAGCUCCCAUGUACAGUACUGUAUACCAAGUGGAUAAAGAAUAUUUGUACUUUUUUGAAGGAAAUUCCACAAGAUCAUGGAUGUACACCUCACCAGAAGUAAUCACUUUGGAAGUUUUCAAGUCAACCAAAGGAUUAAAGAUUUUCUCAUAUGGUGGCUAAGAAGCUGAAACUGUACUUCAAGAUUCCUCCAUCAUUCUUAUUGGUACAAAGCUCAGGACCUUAGUGCCAUUCCUCUCCAGUGCCAUUCAUUUCUAUUAAAAGACAUUACCAUGGCUUUCUUUCUUACAAACCAGCAUUCUUUAAGUACUUAAGAGGUAUAGGGUAGAGCAAUGUUUAAUUCAACAAUCUGAGGGAGCAAAUAAACAAUUUUUACUUAACAUAAAUUUAUUUGCUAAUAUUUUUAUGUAUUUACAAAAUCUACAGUCCACACAGGUUUACUAACCUACAAUCAAUCAGUCAGUUUUCUACCAUUUAAUUUAUGAUGAUCAUCUUACUUGCACUAGCAUAACAAUACUUGUUCUCUAAAUUAUUACAUAUAACAUUCUUAUGACAACCCCAUUUUGUGAUAUGCAAGGCUCACAAUAAUACAGAUAAUACAUAUCAUGACUAACAGGUCACCUAUUAUCUAAUUUCUUCAUCUUAUAUGCAAAUUCACUCACAAACUACUCGUUUCCAGUUUGGGAAUAGAAUAUAAUUUAGGCCAAAGACAAGUGCUGGGAUCAGUGGUCAUUCAGCGCUGAAAGGGAAAUUGGCAGUAAAUAGUUCAGAAAGGGUGGAAUGUAAAAGGAAAGAAAGAGAAUAUGAAAGGAGAUAGAAUAAAAAUGAAUGAAAGGGGUUGCAGGUAGUGGUCUAAGGGAUGCUACAUGGAACCUCAUGCACCGUAUGAGGUGCACUAGUCCCCUCUGUGGGUUUUUAAUUUGGACGCCACAAUGAAUCUAGAUUACAUGACCGUUUUCAAUGUUAUGCAAGCCUCUGGUGCAGUCAUUGCAAUGUUUCCAAAAAAUACGAACGAUGAAACUGCGUGCAGUGUUUAUCAACCUUUAUGCUGAUCUCUUUAUCAGGUCCUUACUAUUCCUGUCAGUUUCUGUUGUCUUAUUUCCUUCCUGACACACUGCAGCCAAACUACUUCAAAGAGGUAAUACGCCCUCCCAACACAGCAGACCUGCAAUCAGAUAAAGCUACUACAUAUUAGUAUUCAUGGGAGAGAACAAUGACUAAUAUAAAAACAACUUUUAAUAUUCAAUAUAAAAAUGUAUACAGCAAAUUAUAUUUCAGUUUCACUUUUAUACAAUCCAGAACAACCGUUGUACAGCCACCACAACAUGAAGUUUUGUAAGGGAUUUUUUUUUCAUGAUUAUUAGUAAAGUUUAGUAAUUUC